GAUUUCUGGCUUGGUGCUCUUGGCCCGCCACGGUUACGUGUGUGAGUGCUGGGUAGCGCCUGCCAUCCUUCUAGGUAGCAUGUCUGCUCUUUACUGAGUGGACAGGUCGCCUAGAUCUUUUACUUUGAAAAAAUUAGAGUGUUUCAAGCAGGCUUCUUGCUAUGAAUACAUUAGCAUGGAAUAAUAAUUUAGGACUUUCGGUUCUAUUUUGUUGGUUUCUAGGACUGAAGUAAUGAUUGAUAGGGAUAGUUGGGGGUGCUAGUAUUCAGCGGCCAGAGGUGAAAUUCUCGGAUUCGCUGAAGACUAACUUAUGCGAAAGCAUU
rnacentral:rRNA from 1 species